ensembl:snoRNA
CACCUUCUGUAGUUCAUAGGCAUGAUGAUUGGGUUUUCGUGCACAGGUGUGAGAUGUGCGUCCCACAAAUCUUGUUGUUAGGACAUCAGCACAUUACGCGUCUUACA